rnacentral:lncRNA from 1 species
AAACAUGUUUAAAAAAUCUUAGAAUGAGCUUAACUUCCUUUGGGCGCUAUUUGCAAAUUUGAUGCUUCCUCGGCUACCUACUAUCUUCAAUCAUUAUGCUGAAGUACAUAGCUGUGUUAUUAAUUAGUGUUUACUUAUUACAUUUUGAAAUUCAAGUUGGAUUUCUUCCCUGCCUCAACAUGAAUAUGAUUUUCCGACCAGGCUUUUGUAGUUGCAGUUCCUACAUAUCUUGAACAUU